UUAUAUUACACUCUUCCUAUUCAACGCAGGACAAGAACAAGUUACAAAUCUUACUUUUUUUGGGACUGCUUUCCUUAAUUCAUCGUCUCAGGCUUACAUAUAUUAGUUUGGGACACAACCUCAUACUACUUUCAGAUGCACAUGUUUAUCAGGCUUACAUAUAUUAGUUUGGGACACAACCUCAUACUACUAUCAGAGGCACAUAUUUAUCGUACAAAUUCCAUUAUUGCACAAUUUUUUUUACUGAUUUCGGUGCGCUGUGUCCAUGACAUAUUGUUUCAUCCCCCCUAAUAUUUGGUGC
rnacentral:lncRNA from 1 species